rnacentral:misc_RNA from 1 species
AAGAGACGCUUGGGAAACUAUACCAAGUUUUCCUACAGAAAUGGGUGAGCUUUUCUCUAAUGGGUGGAACUUGGAUUGCUUUGAUGAUAAUCCUGCAGCCACACUCCCUCCCAUUUCUUUCCAUCAAGGAUUCUCUUCUCCUCUUAAACAAGACUUCAACAAUUACUACUUGAAUGAAGUUUCCUGCCCAUUUGGCAAUGAGUUCUCGACACCACCAUUCACAGAUGAGUUCUCAGCCCCACAGAUUACUGAUUCUUCGUACAACACCCUUGACAUGCCGUCGUUUCCUGUUCAAGAAGAUACUCCAAUGUCCACCAUGGAGGAUGAUCACGACAUGGGCCUGCUUCCAAAUCAUACCCAGAGUAUGGAGAUGCCUGAUUCUUGCAAAGUUGAGCCAAUUCAGUCUCCUGAAAUGCCGGUUUUCAAUAUUGGUUCUUUCCCAGAAAGAAAAAUGAGAGGUAAGAAGUUGGAGGGGG